rnacentral:rRNA from 1 species
GACGAACGCUGGCGGCGUGCCUAACACAUGCAAGUCGUACGGGACCGGGGGCAACUCCGGUUCAGUGGCAGACGGGUGCGUAACACGUGAGGAACUUGUCCGGUGGCGGGGGAUAGCCGGCCCAACGGCCGGGUAAUACCGCAUACGCUCGUUCGGGGGCAUCCCUGGGCGAGGAAAGCAGCCGCAAGGUUGCGCCGACGGAGGGCCUCGCGACCUAUCAGCUUGUUGGCGGGGUAACGGCCCACCAAGGCUACGACGGGUAGCUGGUCUGAGAGGAUGAUCAGCCACAUUGGGACUGAGACACGGCCCAGACUCCUACGGGAGGCAGCAGUGGGGAAUAUUGCGCAAUGGCCGCAAGGCUGACGCAGCGACGCCGCGUGUGGGAUGACGGUCUUCGGAUUGUAAACCACUGUCAGGGGAACGAAUACAGGGCUUCGAUAAGGNGACCCUGGGUGACGGUACCUCCAAAGGAAGCA